GAUGGACGCUGGCGGCGUGCCUAAUACAUGCAAGUCGAACGGAGGGCAGCAAUGCUCUUAGUGGCGAACGGGUGAGUAACGCGUUGGUGACCUGCCCCAAAGCGGGGGAUACCAAGCCGAAAGGCUUGCUAAUACCGCAUGUGCAACCGAGGGAUUAGAAGCUUGGUUGUAAAGGAGGACGCUCGAAAGAGCGCUUCCACUUUGGGAGGGGCCUGCGACCCAUCAGCUAGUUGGUAAGGUAACGGCCUACCAAGGCGAUGACGGGUAGGGGACCUGAGAGGGUGAUCCCCCACAAUGGAACUGAAACACGGUCCAUACACCUACGGGUGGCAGCAGUAGGGAAUAUUGCAUAAUGGGCGAAAGCCUGAUGCAGCAACGCCGCGUGUGCGAUGAAGGCCUUCGGGUUGUAAAGCACUUUUGAUCGGGAAGAGGAAGGACGGUACCGGUCGAAUAAGCCUCGGCUAACUACGUGCCAGCAGCCGCGGUAAAACGUAGGAGGC
rnacentral:rRNA from 1 species